CAUCGGUGUCCCAACAUGGAGGAUUUUCUAAGGAAAUACUUGUCAGAUCGUCUAUCCCCCUGGUUUCGUUGAAGUGGGACUGAUUGGUUGAAAGACCCAUUGAAACAUCAUGUAAACUACCUCUCCUGGACUGUAACAUCACGGGCGAACCUUAAUUUAAUACAGAUUGGGAGAGUUCACAUCUUCAGAAGAAUUAUUUUGCCCUAAUAUAAAAUUGAUCUCUUCAGAA